GCCCGGGUGCCAGCUGGGUGUGGGUUUCCUACGGGGAGCUGGUGGGGGGCGCGGACCCCGGAAGUUUGGGGCCCCUUCCCCGAAGUGGGGGAUCGGGGUCGGCCCCUCGAACCCCCAGCGAUGUGGACUUGUUUCCUCGUUAUAACUCCUCGAGCCGUGGUGAAACCCGCCCUAAAAAUACGUGAUUUAGGCUUGUCUUGGUGUAUCUGAGAGAACGACCGGCUGCCUGUGUGAAAAACAGCCAAGUAGCUAAAACAAAGAAGCGUGUCUUCGUGUUUCGUCGUGUGCAGAUGCGGGGGGAGGACUUGGGGCGCAUGACUUGGCCCUGCGCCCUGGAAGGAUUGGGGCGCCGGGGGACAAGGCGGCCCGGAAGGUCGGCACGGCCUCCCCCGGGCGGGGGGCGGGGUGGGUGAGGCUCAGAACCGAGCUCUCGCCCGGAAGUGGGCCUGGCGGUUAGACCCCUGCGGAGCACUGGCCGCGGUUCUUCCUCUUCGGGACCGCGCUCUUUACAGGUGCUGACUGCCUAGACUUUUUGACUUCAAUGUCCUCGAUUUUAAAGUGAGGAUGGUAUCGGCCAUCCUGUUCUACUGUGGGAUCCUGUCCUGCAGGGGGGGGAUCCUGUCCUACUACGGAUCAUCUUAUGCUACUGUGUGUGAUCCUGUCCUACUGGGUGGGAUCCCCAUCCUACUGUGUGAUCCUGUCCUGCCAUAUGUGAUCCUGUCCUACUGUGUGUGAUCCUGUCCUACUGUGUGUGAUCCUGUCCUACUGUGUGUGACUGUACUGUGGCAUAUGUUCUUUAGUGAACCGGAUUUACCUUCUCUGACACUAAGAUCGUGUUGGGGGAAUGUUUCAUAGAAAGAAACUUUCACCGCAGUGUGUUCCUGAGGGGAAAAUAAAAGAUGGACAAGUUUGGGAUUUGAACUGCGGUCUCUUGCCACAGUUACUGAUAGAAUAUUAAAUUGUUCUGAGAAGCUUUGCAGUAAUGGAACUCACCUAACUCUGUUUAGGCGGGCGUUUCUCCAGCAUCUGACCACAGAAACUUGAGUAACACCCUAUUAAUAUCUCCCCAACGCGGUUUUGACCAGAACACAUUUUUGGGAGACGCUGACGUAAAUCAUUCGCGUGAGCACAGACCUGUGCAACAGUCACUCUCACUUCUCAAAAGACAUUUCAGAACUUUCUGAAAAUCACCUGACUGGAUUUCAGUAAGGAUAGUUUCAGUUUUACAGACAUUGGAGAAAUUGGUCCAUAAAUAAUGAAGUACUACAAGCUGUUAACAUUUGGAAAAGGAAGUGAACCUUCCUCACCCUUCCUCCUUCGUACAUCAUGGACAGUAAAUAACAUCUUAACAUCACUGCGCCAGUAUUAUCAGCGUAUUGUCAGCAUAUUACUCAUAAAGCAAUAGGAAUAAUUACUUUGAAAAACACAGAUCGUUCCAAGUGGAAAUUCUACAAUUUAGGGCUUCUGAAUGACAUUGGACAUUUGUUGAAGGACCUACUUUAGUAAAACAUGAUUAACAUUUCCUGCUAUAAAUAGAAUGCAGCUAAGAAACGCUUAAGUAUGUUGUAUGUAUAUAUGAAGUGACGUUCACGCGAAACCUGCCCUAAUAUUAUAGAAUAAAAUUGAGUACAGGGACUGUCUUCAGCUUUAUUCACGAUGACUGAGCUGCUGAUUCAUGUGUUUGGUGCAAACCUCUAUCAAGGGGAGCUUUGAAGUGACUUGGAAGUUUAGUAUGUUACUAAACCUGCAGUUUCAAGCAGGACCUGCCUAAGGAUGACAGUAACAAGACAUUACAGUGUCCUUGUUCCAGUGUCUGGUCCUCCAUCCUGUUGGGCCAGAAACCUACACGGUUCGCACAGAGAUAACCAGGCUCCAGAGGACACACUAAUGCUAACCAAACUCAAAAGGGACCAAUGUAUAAACCCGGAGUGUUAGCCGCCAUCCAGCUGGACCUCCGUGAAGUUGCACCCGGGGCAGAAAGAUAGGCUACUGAGUGGUCACACAGAGACUUUCCUCCCUGGGGGCAGAGGAAGCCAGAAGUUUGCUUGGGAGACCCUGUCUCUGUCUGCCUGAAGCACAGGUGAACUGGAUUGUGGAGGGCACCUUGACAAGAAGCAAGGUCACAGCUGGGGCAGUCAGGGAGGUCUGGUGGAGAGGGCCACAUAGUGCAAAGUCACACAGGUUUCUUCAGGAAGCCAUCUGCUUGAACAGUGAGUAACGUGUGCCUGCGAUGCAAAAUUCUGCUUCUUUAAACAGAAUUUAAUGAUUUAAAGUAUAUGCACCACAUUCUGUCCGUGAAAAUCAUGGUUGUGAAAACAUGUUCGAAAGAUCUGUAUACGUUGUCUUUUCUAAGUGAAUAUUAUAUUUCGAUUAAAAUAUACGUACAUAUAACAUGCUAA